AACAAGGAUUCCCCUAGUAGCGGCGAGCGAAGCGGGAAGAGCUCAAAUUUAUAAUCUGGCACCUUCGGUGUCCGAGUUGUAAUCUCUAGAAGUGUUUUCCGCGUUGGACCGCACAUAAGUCUGUUGGAAUACAGCGGCAUAGUGGUGAAACCCCCGUAUAUGGUGCGGACGCCCAGCGCUUUGUGAUACACUUUCAAUGAGUCGAGUUGUUUGGGAAUGCAGCUCAAAUUGGGUGGUAAAUUCCAUCUAAAGCUAAAUAUUGGCGAGAGACCGAUAGCGAACAAGUACCGUGAGGGAAAGAUGAAAAGCACUUUGGAAAGAGAGUUAACAGUACGUGAAAUUGUUGGAAGGGAAACGCUUGAAGUCAGACUUGCUUGCCGGAGCUUGCUUCGGUUUGCAGGCCAGCAUCAGUUUUCCGGGGUGGAUAAUGACGGUUUGAAGGUAGCAGUCUCGGCUGUGUUAUAGCUUUCCGUUGGAUACAUCCUGGGGGACUGAGGAACGCAGCGUGCUUUUUGCGAAAGACUCGUCUUUUUCACGCUUAGGAUGCUGG
rnacentral:rRNA from 1 species